AGAGUUUGAUCCUGGCUCAGGAUGAACGCUGGCGGCGUGCCUAACACAUGCAAGUCGAACGGGGUAUAUAAGCGGAAGUUUACGGAUGGAAGGUUAUAUACUUAGUGGCGGACGGGUGAGUAACGCGUGGGCAACCUGCCCCGUGCCGGGGGAUACCGCCUGGAAACAGGCGCUAAUACCGCAUAAGCGCAUACAGCCGCAUGGGUGUAUGCGGAAAGCUCCGGCGGCACGGGAUGGGCCCGCGCCCGAUUAGCCAGUUGGCGGGGUAACGGCCCACCAAAGCGACGAUCGGUAGCCGGCCUGAGAGGGCGGACGGCCACAUUGGGACUGAGACACGGCCCAAACUCCUACGGGAGGCAGCAGUGGGGAAUAUUGCACAAUGGGGGAAACCCUGAUGCAGCAACGCCGCGUGGGUGAAGGAGCGUUUCGGCGCGUAAAGCCCUGUCAGCGGGGAAAAAGAAAGACGGUACCCGACCAAGAAGCCCCGGCUAACUACGUGCCAGCAGCCGCGGUAAUACGUAGGGGGCGAGCGUUAUCCGGAAUUACUGGGUGUAAAGGGAGCGUAGACGGCGAGGUAAGCCUGAAGUGGAAGCCCCGCGGCCCAAC
rnacentral:rRNA from 1 species